rnacentral:rRNA from 1 species
UGGGGAAUUUUGGACAAUGGGCGCAAGCCUGAUCCAGCAAUGCCGCGUGCAGGAUGAAGGCCUUCGGGUUGUAAACUGCUUUUGUACGGAACGAAAAAGCUCUCUCUAAUACAGGGGGUGAAUGACGGUACCGUAAGAAUAAGCACCGGCUAACUACGUGCCAGCAGCCGCGGUAAUACGUAGGGUGCAAGCGUUACUCGGAAUUACUGGGCGUAAAGCGUGCGUAGGUGGUUGUUUAAGUCUGAUGUGAAAGCCCUGGGCUCAACCUGGGAAUGGCAUUGGAAACUGGGCAGCUAGAGUGCGGUAGAGGGUAGUGGAAUUCCCGGUGUAGCAGAGAAAUGCGUAGAGAUCGGGAGGAACAUCUGUGGCGAAGGCGACUGCCUGGACCAGCACUGACACUGAGGCACGAAAGCGUGGGGAGCAAACA